CAGCCGCCGCGGGAACACAGAGGGUGCGAGCGUUAAUCGGAUUUACUGGGCGUAAAGUGUGCGUAGGCGGCUUCUUAAGUCGGAUGUGAAAUCCCUGAGCUUAACUUAGGAAUUGCAUUCGAUACUGGGAAGCUAGAGUAUGGGAGAGGAUGGUAGAAUUCCAGGUGUAGCGGUGAAAUGCGUAGAGAUCUGGAGGAAUACCGAUGGCGAAGGCAGCCAUCUGGCCUAAUACUGACGCUGAGGUACGAAAGCAUGGGGAGCAAACAGGAUUAGAUACCCCUGUAGUCCCUGUCUCUUAUAA
rnacentral:rRNA from 1 species